GAAGGGUGCAAGCGUUACUCGGAAUUACUGGGCGUAAAGCGUGCGUAGGUGGUCGUUUAAGUCCGUUGUGAAAGCCCUGGGCUCAACCUGGGAACUGCAGUGGAUACUGGGCGACUAGAGUGUGGUAGAGGGUAGCGGAAUUCCUGGUGUAGCAGUGAAAUGCGUAGAGAUCAGGAGGAACAUCCAUGGCGAAGGCAGCUACCUGGACCAACACUGACACUGAGGCACGAAAGCGUGGGGAGCAAACAGGAUUAGAUACCCUGGUAGUCCACGCCCUAAACGAUGCGAACUGGAUGUUGGGUGCAAUUUGGCACGCAGUAUCGAAGCUAACGCGUUAAGUUCGCCGCCUGGGGAGU
rnacentral:rRNA from 1 species